CCUACGGGAGGCAGCAGUGAGGAAUAUUGGUCAAUGGCCGGAAGGCUGAACCAGCCAUGCCGCGUGAAGGUCAGUGCCCUAUGGGCGUUAAACUUCUUUUGUGCGGGAGCAAUAAUGGUCACGUGUGGCCAGACGAGAGUACCGUACGAAUAAGCAUCGGCUAACUCCGUGCCAGCAGCCGCGGUAAUACGGGGGAUGCAAGCGUUAUCCGGAUUUAUUGGGUUUAAAGGGUGCGUAGGCUGUGAGGUAAGUCAGCGGUGAAAUGCCCCCGCUCAACGGGGUGAAGUGCCAUUGAUACUGCCUGGCUGGAAUGCGGAUGCCGUGGGAGGAAUGUGUGGUGUAGCGGUGAAAUGCAUAGAGAUCACACAGAACACCGAUUGCGAAGGCAUCUCACGAAUCCGCGAUUGACGCUGAUGCACGAAAGCGUGGGUAUCAAACAGGAUUAGAUACCCGUGUAGUC
rnacentral:rRNA from 1 species